ACGGAAGAAGAUCAGGUUAAAUUAGCAGCACUCAUCGCGGAGCUAGAGGAGCCAGUAGGUCUUUGUGACUUGCCAGCAAUUGACGCUCCUAAUACUAAGAGAAAGAAGGGAAGGGCAAUAAAGAAUUUUUCUGAGUGGAUAGAGAAAGAGCCUCAAGUGAAUUGGUCUUUGCUGCAUGACACACAUGGAGCUAGGUAUGGCCACAUGACAACCAAUCUUGCAGAGGUGUAUAACUUUGUGCUGAGAGGGAAGAGAGCAUUGCCACUCACCGCUAUUGUGGAGGCUGUAUUCCAUGGCACUUUGAGAUAUUUCAUAGAAAGGCACGAGUUAGCAAAGAAGCAUAUUGAAGAUAAUCAGAACACACCUUAUUGUAGCCGUGUCAUGGAAUACAUGGCAAAGAAGAUAGAGAAAGCAAAGAAGCACACUGUCAGACUCACGGGGAAUCAAGAAAGGAGGUAUGAGGUUCAGCUUCCUACCGAUGGUUUUGGUUCUGGACAUGAGGUGAAGACACACGAGGUAAAAAUUGGAACGGAAUUUUAUCCAACGUGUGAGUGUACAUGCAACAAACCGAAGUUGUUGCACCUACCUUGCUCUCAUGUGUUGGCUGCCUGUGGCCAGAUUGAGUUGGAUGCUAUCUCCUUCGUGUCCCCAUACUAUUUAAAAGAGGCAGUGCUCAACACAUGGACAUGCGAGAUGACAGGGUUUAGAGUCGUCGGCAAUUUCAACAAGGUAAACGAUGGUGAGAGAGUAUACAUCCCGCAUCCAGACCUUCGGCGGACAAGUAGGAGCAGACGAAAGGCCUGUCGCAUCUGGAAUGAUAUGGACCAGUCUGAAGCUGGUGGAGCAACCAGACAAUGUUUGUUAUGCGCGACUUAUGGGCAUAGGAUGAAAUAU
rnacentral:rRNA from 1 species